GUGCCAGCAGCCGCGGUAAUACGUAGGGUGCAAGCGUUGUCCGGAAUUAUUGGGCGUAAAGAGCUCGUAGGCGGUCUGUCGCGUCGGCUGUGAAAACCCGAGGCUCAACCUCGGGCCUGCAGUCGAUACGGGCAAACUAGAGUGUUGCAGGGGAGACUGGAAUUCCUGGUGUAGCGGUGAAAUGCGCAGAUAUCAGGAGGAACACCGGUGGCGAAGGCGGGUCUCUGGGCAACAACUGACGCUGAGGAGCGAAAGCGUGGGGAGCGAACAGGAUUAGAAACCCCGGUAGUCC
rnacentral:rRNA from 1 species